rnacentral:rRNA from 1 species
GACGAACGCUGGCGGCGUGCCUAAUACAUGCAAGUCGAACGCUGAAGCUUGGUGCUUGCACCGAGCGGAUGAGUUGCGAACGGGUGAGUAACGCGUAGGUAACCUGCCUGGUAGCGGGGGAUAACUAUUGGAAACGAUAGCUAAUACCGCAUAACAGUAGAUAUCGCAUGAUAGCUACUUGAAAGGUGCAAAUGCACCACUACCAGAUGGACCUGCGUUGUAUUAGCUAGUUGGUGAGGUAACGGCUCACCAAGGCAACGAUACAUAGCCGACCUGAGAGGGUGAUCGGCCACACUGGGACUGAGACACGGCCCAGACUCCUACGGGAGGCAGCAGUAGGGAAUCUUCGGCAAGGGACGGAAGUCUGACCGAGCAACGCCGCGUGAGUGAAGAAGGUUUUCGGAUCGUAAAGCUCUGUUGUAAGAGAAGAACGAGUGUGAGAGUGGAAAGUUCACACUGUGACGGUAUCUUACCAGAAAGGGACGGCUAACUACGUG